rnacentral:rRNA from 1 species
CCUACGGGAGGCUGCAGUCGAGAAUCAUUCACAAUGGGGGAAACCCUGAUGGUGCGACGCCGCGUGGGGGAAUGAAGGUCUUCGGAUUGUAAACCCCUGUCAUGUGGGAGCAAAUUAAAAAGAUAGUACCACAAGAGGAAGAGACGGCUAACUCUGUGCCAGCAGCCGCGGUAAUACAGAGGUCUCAAGCGUUGUUCGGAAUCACUGGGCGUAAAGCGUGCGUAGGCUGUUUCGUAAGUCGUGUGUGAAAGGCGCGGGCUCAACCCGCGGGAGGCACAUGAUACUGCGAGACUAGAGUAAGGGAGGGGGAACCGGAAUUCUCGGUGUAGCAGUGAAAUGCGUAGAUAUCGAGAGGAACACUCGUGGCGAAGGCGGGUUCCUGGACAUUAACUGACGCUGAGGCACGAAGGCCAGGGGAGCGAAAGGGAUUAGAUACCCCUGUAGUC